UAUAAGAGGUAUAACUAUAAAUUUGGU
rnacentral:piRNA from 1 species